rnacentral:lncRNA from 10 species
GCAGAGUGAAGGGCCGGGAACAGUGGAGGGUGCGAGGAAGACAAUGGGGGAGGACCCUGAGGCGGCCUCUGUGAGCCGACAGGAACACGUGGUCGAUCAGAGAGAGACUCUAUUUAAAGUCAUUUCCGCAGUUAAUUGCUUCAUGCUGAUGUAGUUUCUGAAAACUUCACAAGCACACAAAAAUCCUAGAACAUGGUGUCUUUUAGGAGGUUCGUGAACGGAUGGGGAGGACCCUGAAAAGCACUGUGGAAUACAGGUUUCUAGUAACUUCAAAAUCACAUCAUUUGGACUGGGUAAGAAUUGCUGAAACUUUAAUGAAAAGACUGACUGGCUUAUAAAACUGCUAACCCAAAUAGAAUAAAAAUUAAUUGAAUACCGAGGAAAUGCUUCACCAGGUUUGCAUACUUAAUCAGCCUAUACUGAAAUUGUUUAGAUAUACAAUUUGAAUGAACUCCAUGGUCUAAGUCAAAUUACCUGUGAUAACCCAUCAGUUAUCCAUGCUAUGUGCCCAAUUUGGAGAAACAACUGGCACCCAAGAGGACAUAAGUCCGAUGUUAAGCAUGGACUCAUGGAGAACCAAGAUGGCUGCCUUG